rnacentral:Y_RNA from 1 species
GGUUGGUCCAAGUGCAGUAGGGUUUACAACUAAUUGAUCACAACCAGUUACAGAUUCCUUUGUUCCUUCUCCACUCCCACUGCCUCACUUGACCAGCCUUUA